rnacentral:rRNA from 1 species
GACGUAGGGCGCGAGCGUUGUCCGGAUUUAUUGGGUUUAAAGGGUGCGUAGGCGGAUUUACAAGUCAGUGGUGAAAUCUCCCAGCUUAACUGGGAAACUGCCAUUGAAACUGUUUAUCUUGAGUACAUUUGAGGCGGGCGGAAUGUGUCAUGUAGAGGUGAAAUUCUUAGAUAUGACACAGAACACCAAUUGCGAAGGCAGCUCGCUAAACUGUAACUGACGCUGAGGCACGAAAGCGUGGGGAUCAAACAGG